rnacentral:rRNA from 1 species
GAUGAACGCUGGCGGCGUGCCUAAUACAUGCAAGUCGAGCGAACGGACGAGAAGCUUGCUUCUCUGAUGUUAGCGGCGGACGGGUGAGUAACACGUGGAUAACCUACCUAUAAGACUGGGAUAACUUCGGGAAACCGGAGCUAAUACCGGAUGAUAUUUUGAACCGCAUGGUUCAAAAGUGAAAGACGGUCUUGCUGUCACUUAUAGAUGGAUCCGCGCUGCAUUAGCUAGUUGGUAAGGUAACGGCUUACCAAGGCAACGAUGCAUAGCCGACCUGAGAGGGUGAUCGGCCACACUGGAACUGAGACACGGUCCAGACUCCUACGGGAGGCAGCAGUAGGGAAUCUUCCGCAAUGGGCGAAAGCCUGACGGAGCAACGCCGCGUGAGUGAUGAAGGUCUUCGGAUCGUAAAACUCUGUUAUUAGGGAAGAACAUAUGUGUAAGUAACUGUGCACAUAUUGACGGUACCUAAUCAGAAAGCCACGGCUAACUACGUG